rnacentral:rRNA from 1 species
GGUUGAUCCUGCCAGUAGUCAUAUGCUUGUCUCAAAGAUUAAGCCAUGCAUGUCUAAGUAUAAACAAGUUUGUACUGUGAAACUGCGAAUGGCUCAUUAAAUCAGUUAUAGUUUAUUUGAUGAUAUCUUUCUACAUGGAUAACUGUGGAAAACUAGAGCUAAUACAUGCAACUAAAGCCCCGACUUCCGGAAGGGGUGUAUUUAUUAGAUAAAAAACCAACGCGGCUCGCCGCUCGUUUGGUGAUUCAUAAUAACUUCUCGAAUCGCACGGCCUUGCGCUGGCGAUGCUUCAU